rnacentral:rRNA from 1 species
AGAAUCAACGCUGGCGGCGUGCCUAACACAUGCAAGUCGCACGAGAAAGGGACUUCGGUCCUAAGUACAGUGGCGCACGGGUGAGUAACACGUGAAUUAUCUACCUCCGAGUGGGGAAUAACUGAGAGAAAUCUUAGCUAAUACCGCAUAACACUUACGAGUCAAAGCAGCAAUGCGCUUGGAGAGGAGUUCGCGGCAGAUUAGUUAGUUGGCGGGGUAAUGGCCCACCAAGACGAUGAUCUGUAUCCGGCCUGAGAGGGCGCACGGACACACUGGAACUGAAACACGGUCCAGACUCCUACGGAGGCAGCAGUGGGGAAUUUUUGCGCAAUGGGGGAAACCCUGACGCAGCAACGCCGCGUGGAGGAUGAAAUAUCUUGGUAUGUAAACUCCUUUCGAUGGGGAAGAUAAUGACGGUACCAUAGAAGAAGCCCGGCUAACUUCGCGCCAGCAGCCGC